CUACGUAGGUGGCGAGCGUUGUCCGGAAUUACUGGGUGUAAAGGGCGUGUAGGCGGGAUUGCAAGUCGGAUGUGAAAUUCCGGGGCUUAACCUCGGCGCUGCAUCUGAAACUGUGAUUCUUGAGUGCUGGAGAGGAUAGUGGUAUUCCUAGUGUAGCGGUGAAAUGCGUAGAUAUUAGGAGGAACACCAGUGGCGAAGGCGACUAUCUGGACAGUAACUGACGCUGAGGCGCGAAAGCGUGGGGAGCAAACAGGAUUAGAUACCCUGGUAGUCCACGCCGUAAACGAUGGAUACUAGGUGUAGGAGGUAUCGACCCCUUCUGUACCGGAGUUAACACAAUAAGUAUCCCACCUGGGGAGUACGGCCGCAAGGUUGA
rnacentral:rRNA from 1 species